CUUAAAGUCAACUCAGCCAGAAGAGAUCAGGGAGACAGGAUGGCCGUGCUGAGUGCGGAGGAAUUCGGUCCAGGAGCUGCUGGAUCCUACUCAGUGUUUACCUCAGUGACCGCACCUUACCAGCCUUCAGG